UACAGAGGUCCCGAGCGUUGUUCGGAUUCACUGGGCGUAAAGGGUGCGUAGGUGGUGAGGUAAGUCGGAUGUGAAAUCUCCGGGCUCAACCCGGAAAUGGCAUUGGAAACUACCUUGCUGGAGGAUUUGAGGGGGGAUUGGAAUACUUGGUGUAGCAGUGAAAUGCGUAGAUAUCAAGUGGAACACCAGUGGCGAAGGCGAAUCCCUGGGCAGUAACUGACGCUGAGGAGCGAAAGCGUGGGGAGCGAACAGG
rnacentral:rRNA from 1 species